CUCAAAGGAAUUGACGGGGGCCCGCACAAGCGGCGGAUUAUGUGGAUUAAUUCGAUGCAACGCGAAAAACCUUACCUGGCCUUGACAUGUACGGAACUUUCCAGAGAUGGAUUGGUGCCCGAAAGGGAACCGGAACACAGGUGCUGCAUGGCUGUCGUCAGCUCGUGUCGUGAGAUGUUGGGUUAAGUCCCGCAACGAGCGCAACCCUUGCCAUUAAUUGCCAUCAUUUANUUGGGCACUUUAAUGGGACUGCCGGUGACAAACCGGAUGAAGGUGGGGAUGACACUCAAGUCCUCAUGGCCCUUAUGGCCAGGGCUUCACACGUAAUACAAUGGUCGGUACAGAGGGUUGCCAACCCGCGAGGGGGAGCCAAUCCCAUAAAGCCGAUCGUAGUUCGGAUUGCAGUCUGCAACUCGACUGCAUGAAGUCGGAAUCGCUAGUAAUCGCGGAUCAGCAUGUCGCGGUGAAUACGUUCCCGGGCCUUGUACACACCGUCCGUCACACCAUGGGAGUUGGUUCCACCAGAAGUAGGUAGUCUACCGCAAGGAGGACGCUUACCACGGUGGGGUUCAUGACUGGGUGAAGACGUACAGGUAGCCGCCUGGGAGGUGCGGUGGAUACCUCUUCUAGAGAA
rnacentral:rRNA from 1 species